rnacentral:rRNA from 1 species
CCCGCUGAACUUAAGCAUAUCAAUAAGCGGAGGAAAAGAAACUAACAAGGAUUCCCCUAGUAACUGCGAGUGAAGAGGGAAGAGCUCAAAUUUAAAAUCUGUCAGUUUUUAGCUGACCGAGUUGUAAAUUAGAGAAGUGCUAUCAGCGCUGGCCUGUGCAAAAGUCUCUUGGAAAAGAGCAUCAUAGAGGGUGACAAUCCCGUCUUUGGUACAGAGCUCCAGGGCUACAUGAUGUGCUCUCAAUGAGUCGAGUUGUUUGGGAAUGCAGCUCUAAAUGGGUGGUAAAUUCCAUCUAAAGCUAAAUAUUGGCCAGAGACCGAUAGCGCACAAGUAGAGUGAUCGAAAGAUGAAAAGCACUUUGAAAAGAGAGUUAAACAGUAUGUGAAAUUGUUGAAAGGGAAGCGCUUGCAACCAGACUUGUGUUUAAUGGUUCCCCCGGUCUUUUGACCGGGCUACUCCAUUAUAUCCAGGCCAGCAUCGGUUCGGGUGGUCGGUAAAAGGCCCUGGGAAUGUAUCUACCUUCGGGUCGACUUAUAGCCUAGGGUGUAAUGCGGCCUACCUGGACCGAGGAACGCGCUUUUGCUCGGAUGCUGGCGUAAUGGUUGUAAGCGGCCCGUCUUGAAACACGG